GCAUGCCUUACACAUGCAAGUCGAACGGCAGCACGGGAGCAAUCCUGGUGGCGAGUGGCGAACGGGUGAGUAAAGUAUCGGAACGUGCCCAGUCGUGGGGGAUAAUGUAGCGAAAGCUACGCUAAUACCGCAUACGAUCUAUGGAUGAAAGCGGGGGAUCGCAAGACCUCGCGCGAUUGGAGCGGCCGAUAUCAGAUUAGGUAGUUGGUGGGGUAAAGGCCUACCAAGCCGACGAUCUGUAGCUGGUCUGAGAGGACGACCAGCCACACUGGGACUGAGACACGGCCCAGACUCCUACGGGAGGCAGCAGUGGGGAAUUUUGGACAAUGGGCGCAAGCCUGAUCCAGCAAUGCCGCGUGCAGGAUGAAGGCCUUCGGGUUGUAAACUGCUUUUGUACGGAGCGAAAAGGCUUCCACUAAUACUGGGGGCUCAUGACGGUACCGUAAGAAUAAGCACCGGCUAACUACGUGCCAGCAGCCGCGGUAAUACGUAGGGUGCAAGCGUUAAUCGGAAUUACUGGGCGUUAAACGUGCGCAGGCGGUCUUGUAAGACAGGUGUGA
rnacentral:rRNA from 1 species